rnacentral:rRNA from 3 species
UUGUUGGGUAGGGGAGCGUUCUGUAAGCCGUUGAAGGUGACCUGUGAGGGUUGCUGGAGGUAUCAGAAGUGCGAAUGCUGACAUAAGUAACGAUAAUGCGGGUGAAAAACCCGCACGCCGGAAGACCAAGGGUUCCUGUCCAACGUUAAUCGGGGCAGGGUGAGUCGACCCCUAAGGCGAGGCUGAAAAGCGUAGUCGAUGGGAAACAGGUUAAUAUUCCUGUACUUGGUGUUACUGCGAAGGGGGGACGGAGAAGGCUAGGCUGGCCGGGCGACGGUUGUCCCGGUUUAAGCGUGUAGGGGGAGUGACCAGGUAAAUCCGGUUGCUUAUCAACCCUGAGGCGUGAUGACGAUGCACCACGGUGCAGAAGCAGUUGAUGCCAUGCUUCCAGGAAAAGCCUCUAAGCAUCAGGUAACAUUAAAUCGUACCCCAAACCGACACAGGUGGUCAGGUAGAGAAUACUCAGGCGCUUGAGAGAACUCGGGUGAAGGAACUAGGCAAAAUGGUGCCGUAACUUCGGGAGAAGGCACGCUGGCGUUAGGUGAAAGGACUAGCUCCUGGAGCUGAAGCCAGUCGCAGAUACCAGCUGGCUGCAACUGUUUAAUAAAAACACAGCACUGUGCAAACACGAAAGUGGACGUAUACGGUGUGACGCCUGCCCGGUGCUGGAAGGUUAAUUGAUGGGGUCAGCCGCAAGGCGAAGCUCUUGAUCGAAGCCCCAGUAAACGGCGGCCGUAACUAUAACGGUCCUAAGGUAGCGAAAUUCCUUGUCGGGUAAGUUCCGACCUGCACGAAUGGCGUAAUGAUGGCCAGGCUGUCUCCACCCGAGACUCAGUGAAAUUGAACUCGCUGUGAAGAUGCAGUGUACCCGCGGCAAGACGGAAAGACCCCGUGAACCUUUACUAUAGCUUGACACUGAACAUUGAGCCUUGAUGUGUAGGAUAGGUGGGAGGCCUUGAAGUGUGGACGCCAGUCUGCAUGGAGCCAACCUUGAGAUACCACCCUUUAAUGUUUGAUGUUCUAACUCGGCCCCAUGAUCUGGGGUGAGGACAGUGUCUGGUGGGUAGUUUGACUGGGGCGGUCUCCUCCCAAAGAGUAACGGAGGAGCACGAAGGUUAGCUAAUCACGGUCGGACAUCGUGAGGUUAGUGCAAAGGCAUAAGCUAGCUUGACUGCGAGAGUGACGGCUCGAGCAGGUACGAAAGUAGGUCUUAGUGAUCCGGUGGUUCUGAAUGGAAGGGCCAUCGCUCAACGGAUAAAAGGUACUCCGGGGAUAACAGGCUGAUACCGCCCAAGAGUUCAUAUCGACGGCGGUGUUUGGCACCUCGAUGUCGGCUCAUCACAUCCUGGGGCUGAAGUAGGUCCCAAGGGUAUGGCUGUUCGCCAUUUAAAGUGGUACGCGAGCUGGGUUUAGAACGUCGUGAGACAGUUCGGUCCCUAUCUGCCGUGGGCGUUGGAAGAUUGAGAGGGGCUGCUCCUAGUACGAGAGGACCGGAGUGGACGAAUCACUGGUGUUCGGGUUGUCAUGCCAAUGGCAUUGCCCGGUAGCUAAAUUCGGAAGAGAUAACCGCUGAAAGCAUCUAAGCGGGAAACUUGCCUCGAGAUGAGUCUUCCCUGGGGCUUAAAGCCCCCUGAAGGAACGUUAAAGACUAUGACGUUGAUAGGCUGGGUGUGUAAGUGCAGCGAUGUAUUGAGCUAACCAGUACUAAUGAUCCGUGAGGCUUAACC